ACACGCGGAUGCGUGAGUGGGAAUCUGAUGGGGGCUCACGGUCCAAAGCCCCUCACCAAGCCCCUUUCCUUGCGCUCCUCGCGUGCUCCUUUGAAAACGAUGAUGAUGGACCGAUUGUAGGCAACGCCCGGUGGAAUAACUCAAGAAGAAGAUCAACAAUGAAAGCAAACUUGGUUUAUAUUCCACUAAAUUGAUGAACGAAGAACAAUAAUAAAGAAAGCAAAGAAAUCUAGAAAGAGAUUGAAGAGAUCUCUCCCUAGCCCAAUCUAGUGGAGAUUGAUGGAUCUACCACUAGCCCAAGUCCUAGAACACAAGAUCUAAGGACCGAAUUCGGCACAAACGCCACCCAAGCCUUACGGCCGACAUAACAACAUGACUCUAGAAUAACUCUUGAUGCCUUUCAAUGGUCCUUUACAUCUCUUUUUAUAGCCUAAGCCCUAGACAAAACAUGGCAAUUUGUCUUCACAUGGAUCCAAGGCUUUUCCACCGUUGAUUGGCAUGAGAUGGAUGGCUAAAGAUCACCCAAG
rnacentral:lncRNA from 1 species